rnacentral:rRNA from 1 species
UGGGGAAUAUUGCACAAUGGGCGCAAGCCUGAUGCAGCCAUGCCGCGUGUGUGAAGAAGGCCUUCGGGUUGUAAAGCACUUUCAGCGAGGAGGAAGGUGGUGAGCUUAAUACGCUCAUCAAUUGACGUUACUCGCAGAAGAAGCACCGGCUAACUCCGUGCCAGCAGCCGCGGUAAUACGGAGGGUGCAAGCGUUAAUCGGAAUUACUGGGCGUAAAGCGCACGCAGGCGGUUUGUUAAGUCAGAUGUGAAAAUCCCCGGGCUCAACCUGGGAACUGCAUUUGAAACUGGCAAGCUAGAGUCUCGUAGAGGGGGGUAGAAAUUCCAGGUGUAGCGGUGAAAUGCGUAGAGAUCUGGAGGAAUACCGGUGGCGAAGGCGGCCCCCUGGACGAAGACUGACGCUCAGGUGCGAAAGCGUGGGGAGCAAAACAGGAUUAGAUACCCUGGUAGUCCACGCUGUAAAACGAUGUCGAUUUUGGAGGUUGUGCCCUUGAGGCGUGGCUUCCGGAGCUAACGCGUUAAAUCGACCG